rnacentral:tRNA from 1 species
GUUAAGGUGGCAGAGCUCGGAUACUGCAAAAGAUCUAAGCUCUUUCUACAGAGGUUCAAAUCCUCUCCUCAACU